UGGAUCCAGACUUUGAUUCUGGCUCAGGAUGAACGCUAGCUACAGGCUUAACACAUGCAAGUCGAGGGGAAACGACAUCGAAAGCUUGCUUUUGAUGGGCGUCGACCGGCGCACGGGUGAGUAACGCGUAUCCAACCUGCCCACCACUUGGGGAUAACCUUGCGAAAGUAAGACUAAUACCCAAUGAUAUCUCUAGAAGACAUCUGAAAGGGAUUAAAGAUUUAUCGGUGAUGGAUGGGGAUGCGUCUGAUUAGCUUGUUGGCGGGGUAACGGCCCACCAAGGCGACGAUCAGUAGGGGUUCUGAGAGGAAGGUCCCCCACAUUGGAACUGAGACACGGUCCAAACUCCUACGGGAGGCAGCAGUGAGGAAUAUUGGUCAAUGGGCGAGAGCCUGAACCAGCCAAGUAGCGUGCAGGAUGACGGCCCUAUGGGUUGUAGACUGCUUUUAUAAGGGAAUAAAGUGAGCCUCGUGAGGCUUUUUGCAUGUACCUUAUGAAUAAGGACCGGCUAAUUCCGUGCCAGCAGCCGCGGUAAUACGGAAGGUCCGGGCGUUAUCCGGAUUUAUUGGGUUUAAAGGGAGCGUAGGCCGGAGAUUAAGCGUGUUGUGAAAUGUAGAUGCUCAACAUCUGCACUGCAGCGCGAACUGGUUUCCUUGAGUACGCACAAAGUGGGCGGAAUUCGUGGUGUAGCGGUGAAAUGCUUAGAUAUCACGAAGAACUCCGAUUGCGAAGGCAGCUCACUGGAGCGCAACUGACGCUGAAGCUCGAAAGUGCGGGUAUCGAACAGGAUUAGAUACCCUGGUAGUCCGCACGGUAAACGAUGGAUGCCCGCUGUUGGUCUGAAUAGGUCAGCGGCCAAGCGAAAGCAUUAAGCAUCCCACCUGGGGAGUACGCCGGCAACGGUGCAACUCAAAGGAAUUGACGGA
rnacentral:rRNA from 1 species